rnacentral:rRNA from 1 species
GACGCACGCUGGCGGCGUGCUUAACACAUGCAAGUCGAACGAAGUGGCGAACGGGUGAGUAACGCGUAAUCAACCUGCCCUUCAGAGGGGGACAACAGUUGGAAACGACUGCUCAUAACGCAUACUGAAGGAGGAGGUUGCGUCGGAUUAGCUGGUGGGAGGGGUAACGGCCCACAAAGGCGAUGAUCAGUAACCGUGCUGCGAGGAUGAACGGCAACAGUGGGACGUAGACACGGCCCAGACUCCUACGGGAGGUAGCAGUGGUGACUCUGCCGCAAUGUACGAAAGUCUGACGGAGCAACGCCGCGUGAGUGAUGACGGCUUUCUGGUUGUAAAGCUCUGUUAAUCGGGACGCGGUACCGGAAUAGAAAGCCACGGCUAACUACGUGCCAGCAGCCGCGGUAAUUC